rnacentral:rRNA from 1 species
UACGGGGGGUGCGAGCGUUGUCCGGAAUCACUGGGCGUAAAGGGCGCGUAGGUGGCCUGAUAAGGGUGUGGUGAAAGUCCGGGGCUCAACCCCGGAUCUGCCGUGCCGACUGUCAGGCUAGAGUACUGUAGGGGCAGGCGGAAUUCCCAGUGUAGAGGUGAAAUUCGUAGAUAUUGGGAAGAACACCGGUGGCGAAGGCGGCUCACUGGCCCGAAACUGACGCUCAUGCACGACAGCGUGGGGAUCAAACAGG